rnacentral:ncRNA from 1 species
CUCUGGUGGAGGCUCGAAGCGAUACUGACGUGCAAAUCGUUCGUCUGACUUGGGUAUAGGGGCGAAAGACUAAUCGAACCAUCUCACAGCUGGUUCCCUCCGAAGUUUCCCUCAGGAUAGCUGGAGCCCAUUACGAGUUCUAUCAGGUAAAGCCAAUGAUUAGAGGCAUUGGGGACGCAACGUCCUCGACCUAUUCUCAAACUUUAAAUAGGUAGGAUGGCUCGGCUG